rnacentral:rRNA from 1 species
GCUCAGGACGAACGCUGGCGGCGUGCCUAAUACAUGCAAGUCGAGCGGACAGAUGGGAGCUUGCUCCCUGAUGUCAGCGGCGGACGGGUGAGUAACACGUGGGUAACCUGCCUGUAAGACUGGGAUAACUCCGGGAAACCGGGGCUAAUACCGGAUGCUUGAUUGAACCGCAUGGUUCAAUUAUAAAAGGUGGCUUUUAGCUACCACUUACAGAUGGACCCGCGGCGCAUUAGCUAGUUGGUGAGGUAACGGCUCACCAAGGCAACGAUGCGUAGCCGACCUGAGAGGGUGAUCGGCCACACUGGGACUGAGACACGGCCCAGACUCCUACGGGAGGCAGCAGUAGGGAAUCUUCCGCAAUGGACGAAAGUCUGACGGAGCAACGCCGCGUGAGUGAUGAAGGUUUUCGGAUCGUAAAACUCUGUUGUUAGGGAAGAACAAGUACCGUUCGAAUAGGGCGGUACCUUGACGGUACCUAACCAGAAAGCCACGGCUAACUACGUGCCAGCAGCCGCGGUAAUACGUAGGUGGCAAGCGUUGUCCGGAAUUAUUGGGCGUAAAGCGCGCGCAGGCGGUUUCUUAAGUCUGAUGUGAAAGCCCCCGGCUCAACCGGGGAGGGUCAUUGGAAACUGGGGAACUUGAGUGCAGAAGAGGAGAGUGGAAUUCCACGUGUAGCGGUGAAAUGCGUAGAGAUGUGGAGGAACACCAGUGGCGAAGGCGACUCUC